UGCCAGAAGAGAAGAGACACACCC
rnacentral:piRNA from 1 species